rnacentral:rRNA from 1 species
UACAGAGGGUGCAAGCGUUAAUCGGAAUUACUGGGCGUAAAGCGUGCGUAGACGGUCAUGUAAGUCGGGUGUGAAAGCCCCGGGCUCAACCUGGGAAUUGCAUUCGAGACUGCAUGGCUAGGAUGCGGAAGAGGGAAGCGGAAUUUCCGGUGUAGCGGUGAAAUGCGUAGAUAUCGGAAGGAACACCAGUGGCGAAAGCGGCUUCCUGGUCCAAUACUGACGCUCAUGUGC